UACGGGGGGGGCAAGCGUUGUUCGGAAUUACUGGGCGUAAAGGGCUCGCAGGCGGCCGACUAAGUCAGACGUGAAAUCCCUUGGCUUAACCAAGGAAUGGCGUCUGAUACUGGACGGCUUGAAUUCGGGAGAGGGAUGUGGAAUUCCAGGUGUAGCGGUGAAAUGCGCAGAUAUCAGGAGGAACACCGGUGGCGAAGGCGGGUCUCUGGGCCUUACCUGACGCUGAGGAGCGAAAGCGUGGGGAGCGAACAGG
rnacentral:rRNA from 1 species